rnacentral:rRNA from 1 species
UACGGAGGGUGCAAGCGUUAAUCGGAAUUACGGGGCGUAAAGCGCGCGUAGGCGGCUUGGUAAGUCGGAUGUGAAAGCCCUGGGCUCAACCUGGGAACUGCAUUCGAUACUGUCAAGCUAGAGUGUGGGAGAGGGUGGUGGAAUUCCCGGUGUAGCGGUGAAAUGCGUAGAGAUGCGGAGGAACACCGAUGGCGAAGGCAGCCCCCUGGGCUGACACUGACGCUCAGGCACGAAAGCGUGGGGAGCAAACAGG